rnacentral:tRNA from 1 species
UCUCGAUUGGUCUAGUGGUCAGGAUACCUGCUUGUCAUGUAUGGACAAUACGCAGGUGGCCGGGGUUCGAUUCCCCGAUCGAGAG